AACUCAAUUGAAUUCAGCCGGUAGUUCAACUUAAAUAUUUCAAAAAUAAAAUGCUAUACUUACACAAAAACAAUAAUUUUUCAUGCAUAUUUAUCUAUAUAAAAAUGUAUUAAAAAUUAGCUAUUGAAAUAACCACAAAAAAUAAUCGCCUUUAUUUUUUAAACUAAAUAAAAAUUUCUGGAAAAACGAUCGUUAAUAAAGUUUGAUUUAUCUCAUUUAUUGCUGCUGAAUUGUAAUACUACAAGAUAAUAGCAUACCUUUAGGCGUUCAUUUAUUUUUUUUUUCAUUUCAUAAUCCGUCUUCAUGCCUUGUUCGCUGUUUUUUAUAUUGGAUUCUGUCAUUCUUCACAUUCGCAGUUAAUUUCCUUGGAUGACUUGCUUGCUGUUGCGAUUUGAAAUGAACAAAUCUCCUAGAAAAUAAACAAAUAAAUUGUUAAAAAUAUUAAAAGUGUAGUUCGUGCGUGCAAAAAAGUGUAAAGAAAUUAAUUUUCUCUUGAUUGAAUUUGUAUUUUAAUUAAAUAUGUGCUAUUUAAGAUGCGUUGUUGUGUUUUUGACGAAAAAAAAAGAAAAAAAAAAGGCGCCGCUUAGCACCUUGGCAUACAUUUGUUGCAGAAACAAGCUUGCAAAUUCUUUGACGAGCAACGGCAAUUUGCGAAUGGUGGUAUAUUGGAUCGAAAGUGGAAAUCUAUAUAUCGUGUGGUAUCCUGUUUAAUCGGGUUGCUUGGAGAUUAACAAAUCACGCAGUAUUUUUUGUGACAAGCAAAUUGUAAUGGACUCAGUUGGAAAAAUGGCUUAUUUUACGAAAUUACAUUUUAUGUAUAAAACGGCACCCGGAUUUGUAGAUCAAGUUUUUUUUUCAUUGACAUUCUCAGUUCUUCAGCACUAGGUCUUAGAAAAUACUUUAAUUUCAUCGCUGGUUCACCGAAAAAAUAAGCAGUUGACAAAUUUCUCCUAUCAACAAUUAUCGUUAAUACUGUCGUUUAUUAGUCCAUACGUUGACUUAUUUAACUUAUUUUAAAUUUUCUUGAAAAAUAUUUUUCUCUGAGUUUUUUUAUUAUAUGAUCUGAUUGUAAAAUUUUUAAAAGCUAAUACAAAACUUAUUGGCAUAAUAUAAUUGGUAUUCUAAUUGAUUUUAUUAUUAUUGUUAUAAAUACUA